GCGGCGUGCCUAAUACAUGCAAGUCGAACGCUUCUUUCCUCCCGAGUGCUUGCACUCAAUUGGAAAGAGGAGUGGCGGACGGGUGAGUAACACGUGGGUAACCUACCCAUCAGAGGGGGAUAACACUUGGAAACAGGUGCUAAUACCGCAUAACAGUUUAUGCCGCAUGGCAUAAGAGUGAAAGGCGCUUUCGGGUGUCGCUGAUGGAUGGACCCGCGGUGCAUUAGCUAGUUGGUGAGGUAACGGCUCACCAAGGCCACGAUGCAUAGCCGACCUGAGAGGGUGAUCGGCCACACUGGGACUGAGACACGGCCCAGACUCCUACGGGAGGCAGCAGUAGGGAAUCUUCGGCAAUGGACGAAAGUCUGACCGAGCAACGCCGCGUGAGUGAAGAAGGUUUUCGGAUCGUAAAACUCUGUUGUUAGAGAAGAACAAGGACGUUAGUAACUGAACGUCC
rnacentral:rRNA from 1 species